UUUCCUACGGGAGGCAGCAGUGGGGAAUAUUGCACAAUGGGCGGAAGCCUGAUGCACAACGCCCGUGCGGGAUGACGGCUCGGGUUGUAAACCGCUUUCGCCUGUGACGAAGCGUGAGUGACGGUAAUGGGUAAAGAAGCACGGCUAACUACGUGCCAGCAGCCGCGGUGAUACGUAGGGUGCGAGCGUUGUCCGGAUUUAUUGGGCGUAAAGGGCUCGUAGGUGGUUGAUCGCGUCGGAAGUGUAAUCUUGGGGCUUAACCCUGAGCGUGCUUUCGAUACGGGUUGACUUGAGGAAGGUAGGGGAGAAUGGAAUUCCUGGUGGAGCGGUGGAAUGCGCAGAUAUCAGGAGGAACACCAGUGGCGAAGGCGGUUCUCUGGGCCUUUCCUGACGCUGAGGAGCGAAAGCGUGGGGAGCGAACAGGCUUAGAUACCCUGGUAGUCCACGCUGUAAACGGUGGGUACUAGGUGUGGGGUCCAUUCCACGGGUUCCGUGCCGUAGCUAACGCUUUAAGUACCCCGCCUGGGGAGUACGGCCGCAAGGCUAAAACUCAAAGGAAUUGCGGCCGCACAAGCGGCGGAGCAUGCGGAUUAAUUAGGCUAGAACCUUACCUGGGUUUGACAUGGAUCGGGAGCGCUCAGAGA
rnacentral:rRNA from 1 species